rnacentral:rRNA from 1 species
UCGAGCCGCUGGCGGCGUGCCUAAUACAUGCAAGUCGAGCGGACAGAUGGGAGCUUGCUCCCUGAUGUUAGCGGCGGACGGGUGAGUAACACGUGGGUAACCUGCCUGUAAGACUGGGAUAACUCCGGGAAACCGGGGCUAAUACCGGAUGGUUGUCUGAACCGCAUGGUUCAGACAUAAAAGGUGGCUUCGGCUACCACUUACAGAUGGACCCGCGGCGCAUUAGCUAGUUGGUGAGGUAACGGCUCACCAAGGCGACGAUGCGUAGCCGACCUGAGAGGGUGAUCGGCCACACUGGGACUGAGACACGGCCCAGACUCCUACGGGAGGCAGCAGUAGGGAAUCUUCCGCAAUGGACGAAAGUCUGACGGAGCAACGCCGCGUGAGUGAUGAAGGUUUUCGGAUCGUAAAGCUCUGUUGUUAGGGAAGAACAAGUGCCGUUCAAAUAGGGCGGCACCUUGACGGUACCUAACCAGAAAGCCACGGCUAACUACGUGCCAGCAGCCGCGGUAAU